rnacentral:rRNA from 1 species
ACACAUGCAAGUCGAGCGGAGACAGUGAGUAGCUUGCUAUGAGCUGUUUUAGCGGCGGACGGGUGAGUAACGCGUGAGCAACCUUUCCCAGACAGGGGAAUAACACACCGAAAGGUGUACUAAUACCGCAUAAGACCACGGGAUCACAUGGUUCUGGGGUAAAAGAUUUAUCGGUUUGGGGUGGGCUCGCGUCCGAUUAGGUAGUUGGUGAGGUAACGGCCCACCAAGCCGACGAUCGGUAGCCGACCUGAGAGGGUGAUCGGCCACAUUGGGACUGAGACACGGCCCAAACUCCUACGGGAGGCAGCAGUGGGGAAUAUUGGGCAAUGGGGGGAACCCUGACCCAGCAACGCCGCGUGGAGGAAGAAGGUUUUCGGAUCGUAAACUCCUGUCCUUGGAGACGAGUAGAAGACGGUAUCCAAGGAGGAAGCCCCGGCUAACUACGUGCCAGCAGCCGCGGUAAUACGUAGGGGGCAAGCGUUGUCCGGAAUAAUUGGGCGUAAAGGGCGCGUAGGCGGCUCGGUAAGUCUGGAGUGAAAGUCCUGCUUUUAAGGUGGGAAUUGCUUUGGAUACUGUCGGGCUUGAGUGCAGGAGAGGUUAGUGGAAUUCCCAGUGUAGCGGUGAAAUGCGUAGAGAUUGGGAGGAACACCAGUGGCGAAGGCGACUAACUGGACUGUAACUGACGCUGAGGCGCGAAAGUGUGGGGAGCAAACAGGAUUAGAUACCCUGGUAGUCCACACUGUAAACGAUGAAUGCUAGGUGUAGGGGGUAUCGACCCCUUCUGUGCCGCAGUCAACACAAUAAGCAUUCCGCCUGGGGAGUACGGCCGCA